rnacentral:rRNA from 1 species
GAUGAACGCUGGCGGCGUGCCUAAUACAUGCAAGUCGAGCGAAUGGAUUAAGAGCUUGCUCUUAUGAAGUUAGCGGCGGACGGGUGAGUAACACGUGGGUAACCUGCCCAUAAGACUGGGAUAACUCCGGGAAACCGGGGCUAAUACCGGAUAACAUUUUGAACCGCAUGGUUCGAAAUUGAAAGGCGGCUUCGGCUGUCACUUAUGGAUGGACCCGCGUCGCAUUAGCUAGUUGGUGAGGUAACGGCUCACCAAGGCAACGAUGCGUAGCCGACCUGAGAGGGUAAUCGGCCAAACGAGGACGUGGACACGGCCCAGACUCCUACGGGAGGCAGCAGUAGGGAAUCUUCCGCAAUGGACGAAAGUCUGACGGAGCAACGCCGCGGGAGUGAUGAAGGCUUUCGGGUCGUAAAACUCUGUUGUUAGGGAAGAACAAGUGCUAGUUGAAUAAGCUGGCACCUUGACGGUACCUAACCAGAAAGCCACGGCUAACUACGUGCCAGCCGCCGCCGUAA